rnacentral:rRNA from 1 species
GUGCCAGCAGCCGCGGUAAUACGGAGGGUGCAAGCGUUGUCCGGAUUUAUUGGGUUUAAAGGGUGCGUAGGCGGCUAUUUAAGUCAGUGGUGAAAGACUCCGGCUCAACCGGAGCAGUGCCAUUGAUACUGGACAGCUUGAGUAUUGGAGGGGUACAUGGAAUUGAUGGUGUAGCGGUGAAAUGCAUAGAUACCAUCAGGAACACCGAUAGCGAAGGCAUUGUACUGGCCAAUAACUGACGCUGAUGCACGAAAGCAUGGGUAGCGAACAGGAUUAGAUACCCUGGUAGUCCAUGCCGUAAACGAUGAUUACUCGCUGUUAUGGCUUUAUGUUGUAGCGGCCAAGCGAAAGCGUUAAGUAAUCCACCUGGGGAGUACGCUCGCAAGAGUGAAACUCAAAGGAAUUGACGG